GACGAACGCUGGCGGCGUGCUUAACACAUGCAAGUCGAACGGAAAGGCGCUGCUCUUGUUGGGUGCUCGAGUGGCGAACGGGUGUGUAACACGUGAGUAUCCCCCCCUUGACUUUGUGGUAACUCCAGGAAACUGGGGCUAAUACCGGAUAGGAGCUCCUGCUGCAUGGGGGGGGUUGGAAAGUUUCGGCGGUGGGGGAUGGACUCGCGGCUUAUCAGCUAGUUGGGCGGGUAAUGGCCUACCUGGCCGUGGACGGGUAGCCGGCCUGGGAGGGGGACCGGCCGCAUGGGAAGGGGAACACGGACCAGGGGACUACGGGAGGCAGCAGUGGGGAAUGGGGGGCAGCGGGGGGAAACAUGGCCCAGUGAGGCCGCGUGUGAGAAGACGGCCCUCGGGGCGGAAAGCGGGUUUUUUAGUGAAGAACCGCUUUGGGCUGAUACGAAGCGGGAGUGACGGUACCGGAUGAAGAAGCACCGGCUAACUACGUG
rnacentral:rRNA from 1 species